AUUUAAAGCAUUGGCUGGAAAACAAGGAGGUGGUGCGGCUACAAGUUGCUUCAAUGCUGGAAAGGUUAGCGUUGUUAAUUUGAUUGGUGAAGAGAAUUGGUCGAACAUCUGCAAAUAAGAUGCAAAACC
rnacentral:rRNA from 1 species